CUUGGAUUUUCUUUAAGAUUCUAAAUUCUACCCAUUUCUUUACUCCUUCAAUGUUUUUUUUUUCUUUUGUUACUAAUUUUUGACAUUAAUCACUUUUGGAUAUUUAUAUUUGCAUUUUUUUUUUAUUGCUUUCUAUUUGCAGUAUUGGCAUUUUGUUUUUCUAAUUUUUUUUUUGUUUUGUUUUCGUUUGUUUUCUCCUUGUCUAUAAGCAGUGUAAUGUGAUUAUAAUAAUUACACUGUUUAGAUAAAUGUAUAUAUGAAUUUCAGGUUGGGGAAAAAAAAUACAACAAAAAUUCACAAAAGCAAAAAAAAAAAAAAAAAAAAAAAAAAAAAAAAAAAAGAAAUGUUGCCAAAAGUAAUCAUAUUGUAGCCAGUUGUGUGUUCUUUCUCUUAAAAAAAAAAGAAAAGAAAAAAAAAGUUUAAUCCUAAUUAAUCUUCAUUUUGAUUGUCUGCAAUAAAUUUUUUUGCCAGAUUACUAUUGCUAUUUAAAAAAAAAAAGAAAAAGAAAAAGAAAAAACGUAAUGAAGAUCAAUUUUUUUUCUUUUGAAAUUAUAAAUUUAUUUAAAAAAAAAAACAUUUCUUGAAAUUAUUUCACCAAAUCCUUUUUUCAGAAUAUUUAAUAUAAAUUAUUAAUUUUUUUUUGAUUUUCAAUUCCUCAUCCAAAAUUCUUAACUCAGAUCAUUAGUUUUGUAGACAUAGUACUAAUAAUUUCUAUUUCUAAUGAAUUUAGAUUGAUACUAAUUAUGCGGCUGUUUUCUCGUCAGCAUUUCACACACACACUUAAACGUAUCAAAAUCGAAGCUUGAGUAAAGAAGUUAACUGUCGGUUCUUACUUUCAGUCUAGCCAUCUAUAUGCUACACUCCUAAAAUUUGUGAAACAUCUGUUGCGUAGUUGAUUGAACACACACCUUUUAAUAUUCUUUAUUCUAAAAUUGCUUGAACACAACAAUAUAUUUUUAUCUAUUUUUGUUGUAACAAAAUCUGUCUUGAAACUAUCUUCUCAUAUACUAUACAAAUAGAAUGAACUUAUGUGAGGAGUUAGAUUCAUGUAUUUAAUAUUGACAAAAUCUUCUUGAUGAUGGCCAUACGAGUGAUCGAAAAUUCUAUCUUUCUAAUUGUUUUCUUUCUAUCUAUAAACAUGCCGAGUUGUUUUCAAAGAUGUAGAAAUUAAAAAUGGCUUAAAGAUGAUAAAGUUAUAUUACAAUCAUGGUGCAUGCAACUGUACUUAUAGCUUAUGUCGUCCAAACGUAAAAUGGUUUUUGGUUGGAAAAAAUAAGAAGUACCGUUAUUUUCCGAAUAUCUCAUUCUUACGGAGAAUUAAUCAAGAAAUUAUAGAGUCAUACUGCAAUAUCUGGUGUAAGUCUUUUUUAUCCUUUUUUUUUUUAUACGCUUUUUUUUUCUGUUUCAUUCCCCUUCCCCUAGCAAGGUCAGCCCAUCUCUUUUGAGAUUGCAUUGUGAAUAUUACACUGUAGAAGAUACCAACCAUUCAAAAACACACACAGUGUUAACUUCAUUUAAGCAUUUAUUUGGUGUCAGAAUUUUCUUCACACCAUCUGCAACCUGGUCACUGACACAGUUUCACUGUGACUGUUGCAGUCUUUGCGUAUGAGUUUUUGAAUGGCUAAUAUGUGUCUUCCACACUGUAAUCAUUUUAGUUUCCACACACGAUCUCAGAUCCAAUCACUUCUUACCUCGCAAGUACACCUCCAAAAUUGUGAAUAUUAUUCCAUAAUUACUAGAAAUAUUUUACUUCUUGAAAUGUCUGUAAUCCCGAGAUUUUUCUUUCUUUCUCUUCACUUUCUCUGAUUCCAAACUGGUGGAGGGAAACGUGAAUUUUUUUUAAAUAAUUUUUUUUUUUUUUUUUUUAAGCAUUUCAUAUAGAAUUUGGUCUGAAGUCUCUUAAAAUUCCUUUUACUUUUGGACUGGCAGGAGGAAUGAAUGAAGGAGAGAAAGGCAGAAUGCUUUGUUUUUCUUUCUUUUUUUUUUUUUUUUACCCUUUCAAAAGAUAAAAUGUCACAAAAUAGCUCAUUUUCAACAAUUAAUUUAAUAGACAAGAUAUACUUGACACUGAAAACAAACUAAUUUGUUUGUUUUGUUGUUUUUUUCCUUUAAUACUAAAAGACAAUGGGGAAAAUUGAUGGCGCCAGCAGUAAGGGGUGGGAGGUGUAAUCAUAUAUUUCCUAUUCUGUUCAUAAUUAAAAUGAAUUUAAAAAAAAAA